rnacentral:piRNA from 1 species
UGGCCGCCUAGUGUGUGUGGAUAUGGUAGC